rnacentral:rRNA from 1 species
AUUGAACGCUGGCGGCAUGCCUUACACAUGCAAGUCGAACGGUAACAGGUUAAGCUGACGAGUGGCGAACGGGUGAGUAAUGUAUCGGAACGUGCCCAGUCGUGGGGGAUAACUUCUCGAAAGAGCAGCUAAUACCGCAUACGACCUGAGGGUGAAAGCGGGGGAUCGCAAGACCUCGCGCGAUUGGAGCGGCCGAUAUCAGAUUAGGUAGUUGGUGAGGUAAAGGCUCACCAAGCCGACGAUCUGUAGCUGGUCUGAGAGGACGACCAGCCACACUGGGAGUGAGACACGGAACAGACUCCUACGGGAGGCAGCAGUGGGGAAUUUUGGACAAUGGGCGAAAGCAUGAUACAGACAUGCCGCGUGCGGGAAGAAGGCCUUCGGGUUGUAAACCGCUUUUGUCAGGGAAGAAAAGGUUCUGGCUAAUACCUGGGAAUAAUGACGGUAACUGAAGAAUAAGCACCGGCUAACUACGUG